UCGAGGACAAGGACAGGUGGCACCUGAGGUGACAAGGACAAUGAGGACAAGGACAGGGCCCCAUGAGGUGACACCUCAAGGACAAGGACAGGUGGUACCUGUGGUGACAAGGACAACGAGGACAAUGGGGACAAGGACAAGUCCCCAUGAGGUGACACCUUGAGGACAAGGACAGGUGGCACCUGCAGUGACAAGGACAACGAGGACAAGGACAAGUGUCCAGGAAGUGACACCUCAAGGACAAGGAGAGGUGGCACCUGCAGUGACAAGGACAACGAGGACAACAAGGACAAGGACAUGUCCCCAUGAGGUGACACCUCGAGGACAAGGACAGGUGGCACCUGCGGUGACAACGAGGACACGGACAGGGCCCUAUGAGGUGACACUGGUGGUGACAAGGCCGAGGACAGUCCCCACAGUGACACCGGCGGGGACAAGGACACGGUUUGUCCCCUUGUCCCCAAAGUGCCACCAGGGACAAGAGUCGCGUCCCCCCGAGGCCGAGGGUGACACUGCGGCCACCAGCACGGCCCAGGGACAACUCGGGGUGUCCCUGCACCCAUGGGGGACACUGAGACCCCGAGGGUGACACUGAGACCCCAGGGGGGACACUGAGACCCCAUGGGUGACACUGUGACCCCGCAGGUGACACUGAGACCCCAUGGGUGACACCACGUCACUGUGGGUGACACUGUGACCCCGUGGGUGACACUGUGACCCUGUGGGUGACACAAUGACCCCAUAGGUGACACUGAGACCCCACAGGUGACACUGAGACCCCGUGGGUGACACUGAGACCCCAUGAGUGACACUGUGACCCCAUGGGUGACACUGUGACCUUGUGGGUGACACAAUGUCCCCAUGGGUGGCACUGUGAGACCGUGGGUGACACUGAGACCCCAUUGGUGACACUGUGACCCUGUGGGUGACACCACUUCACUGUGGGUGACACUGAGACCCCGUGGGUGACACUGUGACCCCAUGAGUGACACCUGUGACCCCAUGAGUGACACUGUG